rnacentral:misc_RNA from 1 species
UGUAUCCUAUGCUUUUAAUUUUAUUAAAAUUUCAAAUCUUGAACUUUAUGAUCUUUUCAAUUGUAUCUGAUGGGUUUAGGACAUGCUCAAAUGUUGAAAUGGAACUAAAAUAGAAGGCGAAUAUUGGGUUGCCAAAUCAAGUGAUCAUAUCGGAACAAGGAGGAGGAGGAAGCAAUCUAGGCGCUAAAUCAAGUGAUCCCAUUGGCAUAAGUUAGGCAUAGGCGAUCCCAUUGGCAUAAGGCCGACAACUAAAAGGCCAUCAUAUAUUGUGUUUAGGGUUUUGAGCUCAUCUUAAUUUAAGAGGAGGAGGAGGCUGG